rnacentral:lncRNA from 1 species
GUUCUUUGUGGGUAUGAAGGGUUACAGUCCUUUUACUGACCUGUCCUGCUUCUGAGGAUAACCAAGCUGCCAGCAGCACUGCACAGAGGGGUAUUUAUGUUCUCCCAUGGCAACACAGAUGUGCUGGUCACGAAACACCUACAGAUGACAUCCUGAAACUGCUAGCCUUGAAAAUGGCUGUGAACUCCAUAUCGUGAUGAUUUUCAGCGCUGUUUUCCAGAACAUUCAAUGAUGCACCCAAGUGACCCAACAUUGGAAAAACUAUGUAGGAGUGCACAUCCUGCAGAAAGCCAAGAUGGAUUUCAAGGCAGGCUGAAAGCAUCAUUUCUUCUGCACGGCGAAAGAGUUGGGUUCAUACUGCAAAGCAUUCUUCCUCAUUCAUCAUGUGCUGUCUUAGCUGCUGUCUCACAAAUCCAAUAUGGAUAUUAAUUGCAAAUCGCUGAGAGAGGCCUUUCAGGUCUUGGAGUGGUCUUGUGAUCUUCCAAUUUGCCCUCUUCUCUAGCCAGUUCUGAGAGAGGAAUUUUAGUUUUUCUUUUAAAUUUUUGGUGACUACUAAGUGUUUGCCUUAUCAUUUGAAAGAAAUGUGAAGAAGUACGUGUCUGAUGAAAUAUUUAGACUUUUAAUACUAGCAGCCCACAGAAUACCAUAAACCAUAAUUUAUAUCUGUUUACAGCACUUCUGCUGGAAGUAUCCUGCUAAUCUACCUAAUAUAUGUAAGAAAAUGCAGACCUGCUAAGAUUUUUUUAUUGUAACCAUCAGUCUUUUCUACAAUAUCAUGAAGUAACAAGGAAUGGACUUUCCUAGGAUCUUGAUGUCCUAUUUAUUAAAGACAGUGUCUCAUGUUAUCUGUUAGAGCCCCGUGUGCAGCACCAGGCGACCUUUUUCAAAGAGACUCAAGUGAAUGAUGUUGUUUUCCUAUAGGCUUUAAGCUCAAGAUUUUGUCACUUUUCCAUAUGAGGGUGUACUAAUUGGAUCCUAAUUAGGUCCUAUAUUGUGCAUCACUGAAUGAAACAUCUCGUGGCUGAUGCCCUCACAGAAGCUGUUGGGUUGAGCACAACUGGGUGGAUGGAGUUGCCUUGUGCUAGUGGAGGAGCAGUAUUCACCAGACUGUUUUUCCUUCAGACCUUAUGCCCAAGGGUGCACGUCUCAGAGACGAGCAUGGGGACUACAUUUACAAAUCUCCUUAGGGUUAAAUAUUCAA